UACGGAGGGGGCUAGCGUUGUUCGGAAUUACUGGGCGUAAAGCGCACGUAGGCGGCUUUGUAAGUUAGAGGUGAAAGCCCAGGGCUUAACCCUGGAAUUGCCUUUAAGACUGCAUCGCUAGAAUCGUGGAGAGGUGAGUGGAAUUCCGAGUGUAGAGGUGAAAUGCGUAGAUAUCAGGAGGAACACCUGUGGCGAAAGCGGCUCACUGGACCACACUGACGCUGAUGCACGAAAAGCUAGGGGAGCAAACAGG
rnacentral:rRNA from 1 species